GACGUAGGGUGCAAGCGUUAAUCGGAAUUACUGGGCGUAAAGCGUGCGCAGGCGGUUGUGCAAGACAGAUGUGAAAUCCCCGGGCUUAACCUGGGAACUGCAUUUGUGACUGUACGGCUGGAGUACGGCAGAGGGGGAUGGAAUUCCGCGUGUAGCAGUGAAAUGCGUAGAUAUGCGGAGGAACACCGAUGGCGAAGGCAGUCCCCUGGGCCUGUACUGACGCUCAUGCACGAAAGCGUGGGGAGCAAACAGG
rnacentral:rRNA from 1 species